CGCGUAGGCGGAUGAUACAGUCAGAUGUGAAAUUCCCGGGCUUAACCUGGGGGCUGCAUUUGAUACGUAUUGUCUUGAGUUCGGAAGAGGGUCGUGGAAUUUCCAGUGUAGAGGUGAAAUUCGUAGAUAUUGGAAAGAACACCGGUGGCGAAGGCGGCGACCUGGUCCGACACUGACGCUGAGGCGCGAAAGCGUGGGGAGCAAACA
rnacentral:rRNA from 1 species